rnacentral:rRNA from 1 species
UACGAAGGGGGCUAGCGUUGCUCGGAAUCACUGGGCGUAAAGGGUGCGUAGGCGGGUCUUUAAGUCAGGGGUGAAAUCCUGGAGCUCAACUCCAGAACUGCCUUUGAUACUGAAGAUCUUGAGUUCGGGAGAGGUGAGUGGAACUGCGAGUGUAGAGGUGAAAUUCGUAGAUAUUCGCAAGAACACCAGUGGCGAAGGCGGCUCACUGGUCCGGUACUGACGCUGAGGAGCGAAAGCCAGGGGAGCAAACGGG